rnacentral:rRNA from 1 species
AACGAACGCUGGCGGCGUGCCUAACACAUGCAAGUCGAGCGAGAAAGUACCUUCGGGUGCGAGUAAAGCGGCGCACGGGUGAGUAACACGUGGGUAACCUACCCUCAGGUCUGGAAUAACUCGGGGAAACUCAAGCUAAUACCAGAUGAGACCACGUUACGAGAGUAGCGUGGGAAAAGCAGGGGAUCUCUUCGGAGACCUUGUGCCAGAGGAUGGGCCCGCGGUCCAUCAGUUUGUUGGUGGGGUAACGGCCUACCAAGACUAAGACGGAUAGCUGGUCUGAGAGGAUGAUCAGCCACACUGGAACUGAGACACGGUCCAG